rnacentral:rRNA from 1 species
UACAGAGGGUGCGAGCGUUAAUCGGAAUUACUGGGCGUAAAGCGCGCGUAGGCGGCUUUGCAAGUCGGGUGUGAAAUCCCCAGGCUUAACCUGGGAACUGCAUUCGAGACUGCAUUGCUAGAGUACGGAAGAGGCAAGUGGAAUUCCUGGUGUAGCGGUGGAAUGCGCAGAUAUCAGGAGGAACACCCAUAGCGAAGGCAGCUUGCUGGGACGUUACUGACGCUAAGGCGCGAAAGCGUGGGGAGCGAACAGG